rnacentral:lncRNA from 1 species
AUCUUGAUGUAGUCAUUGUGUGCAAUGAAUAUGGGACCAAAUACUAAACAUUUGACAACUUUAACCCACUAAGUGAUAUGUGUCCAAAUACUUAAAAUCUUCAAAUGGGGAGGGGGGGGGAACUAGACAUAUAUAAAGUGCUUUCAUUCCUAAACGGUAAAUCAGACAAUUCUGAAAAUACCAUGAAUUAAAAGGUGACAUUCUGUACUGUAUUCUGUACUGUAACUGUAGAAAAAGCCCAUGGAGUUGGUGGAAUAAUCCUUUAAUUCACUGCCAUUUACUCAGCUGGGCCAGGGGCGCUUUAAUUAGGUCAGGUGGAAAUAUCCGACAGAUCUCCACUCCAUAAAAGGAGUAAAUCACCAUCGCCUGAUCGCGCUGCUUUCUCUUCCUUCACUCUGUGCGUCCAUGAAUCCACCAAUACUUCAUCGAGAAACGAACAUCCUCCUAGCUGACUUAGAAGACACGGAGUGUGCAAAUCCGGCUCUGCCUGGUGCAUCACACAGUUGGAGUGUGAGGAAGGAACUCUCACAGGAUAGGUGAAGGGAGUCCAGGCCUGAGAUCGUAGAUUCUCUGCUGGCUGCAGAGCAUGCUUCUCAGAAAAUAUGUUAGUCAUACAAUUUGAACAGGGCUAUUCUGCGAUGUAGAGACUGUCUGCCGAAACAGCUUUACCCUCGAGGACUGCGAUGUCUCUACACAUGCAACGUUCCCCUUGCACAACAGAGAGUCCAUGAUUGAGGGAUUCUACCUGCCCCUUCCUCCAACUACAGCCAUAUCUCUCCACAGUCAUGAUUGUUUCUUACCAUUGGACGUACCAGAGGUGAUAUGUGGUUGCCUGACUAGCACCAUCCAUGUUGGCCCUGGGAAACAUAUCAUCCUUGUGGGAAUAAAUGGUCGCUACAAUGUCACAGUGCCUGUGCUGACCUGCACAACCUGUCUUAUCACCUGGACAGCAAACUUGGCAGAUCUGAUAAAGAAUGGGUACUGGCCUGCCACUGUCAACUGUGACACCAUAUAACUGGUAGAUCUGUUCAGCUCUUGAGGAGCUGAAAGUGUUAGCCCCAGGAAUGUCUGUCUGGUGUUUGUGUGGGUUUUGGAGCAGCAAACUGACUUCUUUGGCAGGGUAACAAUAAAUUAUACUCAGCUUUACCAAUGUAUGACUACAAGUUAACUAUGUUACAUUUUGUUUCAACACUUUGUAAUAUAACUUUAUUUCCAGUACUACAACUGUUAACUUCAGGUCUCUUGCUGCAGUAUGUUAGCCUCCUGCACCACUGUCCUGCCAUGCCCCUUAUCUGUGCCCCUCUUGCAUCCAAUAUUUCCUGUUUUUUACAGCAUAAGUACUCAUCCUACUUUUGCAUUUGCUUUCACCUGCUUUGCUGGCAAUGCUAUGCACUGGCCCUGCUUUAACUCAAAUCCAGUCAGCCAUAGUGAAUUAUAAUAUGUUUUGUUUAUAGUGUUGUUGUACGUUAUUUCAUGUCUUUCCCAUAUGUAUUUUUCCUUACAAGAACGGAAUGUUCUGUGGGGACACUUUUUAAAAAAGCUUCUUUGAGUGGACGUACUGCCGCUCUGAAAAUGAUCAGGUCUGUGAUAUACAGUACUUUGACUGCCCAGCCUGUUCACCCAGCAUGCUUGCAGUGUCAGUGGAUGGGAACAAGAAACUGUAUCGAUUCAAAAAAGGGUAGGUAAAACUAUUCAUAAUUGAUCAAAUAACACUAUUCUAUAUCGUUUAAACAAUCCAAACAAGGUUUGCCUUUUUUUUUUGUUCAGUGUGAAAGUUUUCAAAUGCAGUUGAGCUCAUUUUUAGCUUAAAUGUUUUGAGUUUGUAAUGAAAUGAAUUAUCAACAUUGUCAAGUGUCCCCCAGGAUCAGUUACUGAGGUUGAUUUACAUUUCAUAUGUCAUAUAUAAUGCAUUUCAUGUAUCCUUUCAAGGGCUGAUGACAAAGGAUUCUUUGAUGGUGUAUUUAUCUGCAAGGAUGAGGAUGUCUGACUUUGAACAAUGUCCACACAAAGACUAAACAUGUACUGUGGAUCUUCUAAUCUGUGAAAUAGGACUGGUCUUGGGCCAUCUGACUCAAAGGCAGACUAGUUAUACACUAUUCCAAUAAAAAACCCACUUUGGAGAGAUGGUAAUCCUCUCUCUUCAAGUCCAGGGUCGUUACACCACUCCCUCUGUUCAGAAAUGCAACACACUUUACAAGUGCAUCUUUUUGACAGUCUCCAACUUCUGAUCUCCUUUGUAGCGAACACAGGGGGUAGCUCAGCGCCCUCAGCUAGGUUUUAAAAACCUAACCACUGUCACGUUAACACCCCCCCCCAAUUAUUUUUUUCAUUUUUCGACCUAUACUCUUCUACUUGUCUAGGGUUAUGGAAUAGGGUUAUGGAAAAGGGCUAUGUGGAGCAUCCCAGUGCACAGCAGCUAAAGAGUCAAGGAAAACAAACGACAAACUUGAUGAAGAGGGACUCGAAGUUGCCGUCUGCCGCCACGGAAUACUUCUGAGGAGCCUCAACAUGAUGCGUGGAGAUAUUUGCAUACCCACUGUUCUUGCAGAAGGAAUUGUCUGGCAGCAGGAACAAACAAUUCAUGUGUACGGAUGUGAUCUGCAAAUUUUGUCCAUACCUAACCAAAGUUUGCCUUCAUUGUCCAGAGCUCGCCACUCUUCUAGACAUGAAGCCACUUCUUUCCGUCAUGCAUGCAAAGGCACAUCGUUUGAAAUGCGAGCAAGAACCGACAUGCUAACCAUCCAGGCCGUGGGACAGAAGGAAGAACAACCUGCACAGAGCAUUGUUCCCAAGAUAUUUGAAGACAACAGCAAAAAUCAACAGGAGGAGACCUAGACUCAAAUGUUUAAGAGUGAUUUGGGUGUAGGCGAUGAGACUCUGGACAACGGAAGUUCAGCAAUGGGCUAAUAGAGAGGAAACAGCUUAGAACAUGGAUGGUCCCCAGGUACUACAGAGAACAAUUGAAGUCCUCUUACUUAGCAUCAAACAAAGGAAACAGAACCUCUUCCUUCAGACAGAUGGAUGCAAGAAAAGACACCCUCUGCGCAGAAAGAUAUUGGAAGAAAAGACCAAAUUGACAGCUGCCAUAGAGGAGUACAACACCCUUGUACUAGGUUCAGCAAUACCAUCUGCAGAUGAGAUCCUUUCCGCAGACCUUCAUGCAUGGCCUUGGGAGCUGCAUGGACAAACUGACUUACUCAAAGAAAAUGGCCUUUGACCAGGUGAUGCUCCUGAGAUGGCUGAAGGAGGAGGAGUUAAUUGUCCUAAAGGAAGUCAAGCAGCACUGGGAAAGCCUAAAGAGGGAAUCGGAGAAUGUGCAAGACUUUGCUUCACAUGUGGCACUUGACCUAAGCAGGCAAAGCUGGCAAUUGAAUCAGUCGGAAGCUGGGAGCAGAGGUCUCUUCUCCAUGCUUCAGAGGAGAGUCAGCAGCCUCCGAAGACACCAGGACUCUGUCAAACUGAUAUACAGCAAAGCUAUGGGCCAAGACACCUCCCUCCUAGAGACGACCUCCUGGAAGAGGACAUCUACGACAGCAUCCACUACAGCUCUGAUGACGAGGAAUCUCUCACAGACUGAAGGUGUUCGUUUGGGUGGGCGCAGUUUGCACUGGGUGAAAAGUGAUUCCAUUCGUUUUGCAUAUGUGCUUCAUCUGCCUUCCUAAGGAAAAAUAGUUUGAACAUUUUAUGGAAAAUAAACUUUUAUGUUUCUUCCUUGUUGACAAUGUGAUCAAGUGGCACAUACUUGAGAAGGGCGCUCAUCUGUUACUGCUUUUGCCCGGUUACAUGACCAGGUCAGAUGCACCCCUUUAAAUGGCCAGUCUGCAGUUGCUACAUCCACUUUUGGAUUCUUGAAGAAUAUAGUUCAACUACAGUACCCCAUCAGAUCCCAAAAUAUAAGCUUUUUUUUAUUCUACUCCAAUGUUUGUACAAAAAGUAAAUGUAAACAAACACUUUAUAGCAGGUGUCAAACUCAUUCCACAGGUGAGCAGAGUGUUUGCGGGUUUUCGUUCCUCCCUUGUACAUGAUUGAUGAAUUAAGGUCACUAAUUUGUUUAUAGUAAAUGGUAAGGCCCAG